rnacentral:rRNA from 1 species
AUGACUUCCUCAUCUUCCUCAUCCGGCGCUAUCUCCCAACCUACCCUCAGUAGUCAGGUCACCGAGAAGCUUUCCCGCACAAACUAUGUGCUAUGGCGCACGCAGAUCAUCCCGCAACUGCGUGGUGCCGGGGUCUUCGGCUAUGUCGACGGCACCUUGCCGAAACCAGCCAAACUCCUUGCCACCAAGGACAAGGAUGGCAAGGAAACAUUUGAGCCCAAACCUCUCUACUCGAUCUGGGUCGGGGAGGACCAA